CCUACGGGAGGCAGCAGUGGGGAAUUUUGGACAAUGGGCGCAAGCCUGAUCCAGCAAUGCCGCGUGAGUGAAGAAGGCCUUCGGGUUGUAAAGCUCUUUUGUCAGGGAAGAAACGGUGGGGGCUAAUAUCCCUCGCUAAUGACGGUACCUGAAGAAUAAGCACCGGCUAACUACGUGCCAGCAGCCGCGGUAAUACGUAGGGUGCAAGCGUUAAUCGGAAUUACUGGGCGUAAAGCGUGCGCAGGCGGUUUUGUAAGUCUGUCGUGAAAGCCCCGGGCUCAACCUGGGAAUUGCGAUGGAGACUGCAAGGCUUGAAUCUGGCAGAGGGGGGUAGAAUUCCACGUGUAGCAGUGAAAUGCGUAGAGAUGUGGAGGAACACCGAUGGCGAGGGCAGCCCCCUGGGUCAAGAUUGACGCUCAUGCACGAAAGCGUGGGGAGCAAACAGGAUUAGAUACCCUGGUAGUCCACGCCCUAAACGAUGUCUACUAGUUGUUCGGGUUUUAAUUAACUUGGUAACGCAGCUAACGCGUGAAGUAGACCGCCGUGGGGAGUACGGUCGCAAGUAUUAAAACNCGAAAGGAAGUUGACGGCGUGAGACGUGCCGACGGACGACGACGAGGGAGGAGG
rnacentral:rRNA from 1 species